rnacentral:lncRNA from 10 species
AUCAUUUCCCUGAGCUCACUUUAUCCUUUUCCUUCUUAAAGGCGACCAUUUCAUUAAGUUUUUAAGUGCCUGGUAAUUGCUUGGUUAUGACCGGUGUCUGCUCCAUGGCAGCCUCUUCCUGAAGAAAUGCUGAGGCAGUGUCACGCUGGUGUCUGUCCUCCUUACAGAAUGCCUGAACAGUUCCAUUGACUCAAAGUGAAGAUCAAAAGAACCAAAUGACAGCAAUAGCCAAGUGUAAUCAUCAGUAACCCUGUGUUCUAUCCACAGGUAAAAAACAAUCAUCCUCUUCAUUAUGGGUUUCAAUUUUAAAUGUAAUACAUUUUUAGAAAUGCCUAUUUCCUUUUAUAAUCUCUUUAUAUAAUCUAGGUUAUUCUGGCUCUUAGGUCUUCAUUUAGCUACUGAAAAGAUUUGAUCUCAAAUCAAUGAUCUAACCACCCAUGACCAUCUCCCACCUCUCUCCCCGUACACCCCCCAGCAUGAAUUCUGGGAACUCAGGUAAAAUGCUUUCUGGAAACCUGCCUGUAUUAGUCUGUUGUCAAGCUGCUAAUAAACACAUACCCGAAACUGGGUAGUUUAUAAAGGAAA